rnacentral:rRNA from 1 species
UACGGAGGGUGCAAGCGUUGUCCGGAUUUAUUGGGUUUAAAGGGUGCGUAGGCGGCCCCUGUAAGUCAGUGGUGAAAACCCCUUGGGCUUAACCCCAAGGAGUGCCAUUGAUACUGCAGGGCUUGGGUCAUCUUUUGGGGCGGGCGGAAUGGAUGGUGUAGCGGUGAAAAUGCAUAGAUAUCAAACCAGAACGCCGAUAGCGAAAGGCAGCUCGCUGAGGAUGUACCGACGCUGAGGCACGAUAGCGUGGGGGAUCAAAACAGG